rnacentral:rRNA from 1 species
AUUGAACGCUGGCGGCGUGCCUAACACAUGCAAGUCGAGCGGUAACAGGUGUAGCAAUACAUGCUGACGAGCGGCGGACGGGCGAGUAACGCUUGGGAAUCUGCCUGUUAGUUGGGGACAACCCGGGGAAACUCGGGCUAAUACCGCAUACGCACUACGGUGGAAAGCCGGGGACCGCAAGGCCUGGCGCUAACAGAUGAGCCCAAGUCGGAUUAGCUAGUUGGUAGGGUAACGGCCACCAAGGCGACGAUCCGUAACUGGUCUGAGAGGACGACCAGUCACACCGGAACUGAGACACGGUCCGGACUCCUACGGGAGGCAGCAGUGGGGAAUAUUGGACAAUGGGCGAAAGCCUGAUCCAGCGACGCCGCGUGGGUGAAGAAGGCCUGCGGGUUGUAAAGCCCUUUCGGUGGGGAAGAAAGCCUCGAGUUAAUACCUCGGGGUCUUGACGUAACCCAUAGAAGAAGCACCGCUAACUCUGUGCCAGCCGCCGCGGU